rnacentral:lncRNA from 1 species
AAGCCCAAUUCAUCCAUUUUUACCUCACGUUAUCAUACACCCUCAUCCAUGUAAUUAUCCCUCCACAAAAUUAAAAAAAAACAAACUCCCUGACAAAUUUUAUCUCAACCAACUCAAACCCCUCACCCAACCCCCUACCCUUAUACCCCACUUACCAGUUACCCCCACCCCUGGAUCACAUUUUCCUUUUUCCUUUUGAGAGUAUAUAUACAGAACAAUACAAUACACAGAUAGGGAGAAUGGACUAAGGGACCCACACCAAAAAAUCACCAUCACUCUUCUACACAAUUCCAUACACGCAUAUAUACACAACAUACGAUACCCACUAGGGGGAUUCGGACAGAUGGAUUAAAAUACACACACCCAUACAAAAUUCCACAUACAUAGAACACUCCAUUUUCAUCUUCACACAAUUCUUCACAUCACAGAAAGAGGACGCACAUUCUCUCCAUACCUGUACACACAUAUCUUCCAUAGACAAUACACACAGAAAAAGAGCUCACGCCAUUUUUUGAAACUCCAUUUCCUCUCCUUUUCUUCUUCUUCUUUGCACACUCUCACAGAAGACCACACGCAAACAUGCAUCUCUCACAAAACACAUCAUCCAUACUCACAGAAAAGAGAUAGGAGAGCUUUAUAAACACAAAAAUAGCGUAGAGAGGGGAGAGAUCGGAGAAACAACGAGAAAACGAGGGAGAGAUCAGAGAAACAGCGAGAAAACGAAAGAGAGAUCGAGAAUACAGUGAGAGGUCGAUGAAAUUUGCAAAAAGUAGACCCAAAUAAACUGGAACCGACUGUUUAGGGUCUGAUUCCAGUGAUAUUCGCCAGAACGGGUGAAAACAGGGUAGGGUUUGCGAGAAUUUGAUCUGUCCGUUUGCUAUUUCUCAAUAUGAGUUGAUUUUGUUCGGGGUUGAGGCUUUGUCCUUCAAGGCAUUCUGAUCGGAGUUCUAACCAAAUGCUUUGGCGGAUUGAAAUAAAAAUUGAGGUUCAAUUCUACUUUUUUCUCUUUUUAUUUUAUUAUUUAUUAUAUUUAGUGUGCUAGAUAUAACGAAAAUAUCAAAAAAAAAAUUCAUUCAUAGUUAUUGGUGUCAGUUUUAUGUGAUGUGUUAAAUUAAAACCCCCAAAAGAUUUUAUUAACGGUUUUCAUCGUCUGUCUUUAGUCGUUUGUCUUAAGUUAAGAUCAGUCGGUUCUUUAAUCUUUAAUUGUUCAAUCUGGACGAACUACGCACCACUGAUUCUCCUCUCCCGGGAAUGAGAUACGUAGGCAACCUAUUGUGGGUUCGGGAAUCUUAUUUGAAAAAUUCAAAAAGAUUUUCUUCACUCUUUAUUAGAGUAGGUGUCAUAUACAUCUCUAAAAGAAAACCACAAAAAGAUUUUUCUUUAAUAGUUUCAAGUUUCAUUUUCAUAUGAAAUUCAAAAUUGAAAACUCAAAAAGAUUUUUCUUUGAUAAUCAUAGGUUUCAUUUUGUAUAGAAAUCUGAAAAAUCCAAAAAAAUUUUCUUCACUUUUCAUUUUGAAUAGGUGUCAUAUAUAUUUUUAAAAGAAAACUACAAAAGAGAUUUUCCUUUAAUAGUUUCAAGUUUCAUUUUCAUAUGAAAUUCAAAAUUGAAAACUCAAAAAGAUUUUUCUUUGAUAAUCAUAGGUUUCAUUUUGUAUAGGAUGUUAAAGUUGAAAAAUUUUAAAAGAUUUUUGUUAAUUCUUUUGACAAUUUGUUAUUUUCUUUUCUUCGUAAUGUUUCAAAAAAUAAAAAGAAAAAGAGUUUAAUCGGUCAUUUUUGGCAAGACUUCACGAAUUACGCACACCUGAUUCUCCUCUCUUGGGAGUGAGAUACGUAGGUGCCCUUCUUGGGUUCGGUGAUCUUUUCCAAACAAAAAGAAAAACCAAAAAAGAUUUUGAGAAAGUGUUGAAUUCUAACACGUUUGUUAUCUCUUGUUCAGUUAGUUUAAGGUGGUUAGUUUGUGGCAUUUUGGCUAGUCCUCCACAUCACGCCAAAUUUGAAGAAAGUUUAGCUGUGUCCAACAAGGAUAUAGAGAGUGACCUCAUGGAUCAAACAAAGAGUCAAGAAAUUGAGAGUUUAAAGGAAGAGAAUUUGAGACUAAGACAACAAAUAAUGUAAAUGUAUCGAGCUUGAGUCAAUGGGUUGCCUCCUCCUCCAUUCCCCACUAUUGAUCCUGCAAAUACUUGAGUCUUCUACCAAAAUUGCAAAGUCAGUUUCCUACUAUUGUUGAUGCAUCACAGCAUGCCACAAAAUUCAUUCCACGUCAAAUGCACCCCAAUACUUUCACCACUCAUUCCUUAGCUCCUCAGUAUAAGCCUACCAUAUUCAUAGCACCACAACCCGUCUGUGCUUUUGUUGCUCAACCUUCUACUAAGGCUUCUACUUUGGCUAUCAAUCCAAGAAUUGUGCUUCCCCAAUCCUCUAGUGAAUCUAUGUUCAAUACUCUUGAUGAUCAUUGCUAUACUCUUGAGCCAACAGUUAAGUUAAGUGGACUGCUAAAAUUUCUUAUCAAGAAGCUUAACAUGCCAGAAAAGCCAGACCGAAACCUCAAUCGAUGCCCCAACUCGGUAUAGUCCUUCUCCUCCCCUUAGAGGUAUUUGUGACUGGUUUCCUUCAUAACUUGGGUAGAUAGGAUAUCCUGAUGUAGACUCGGUGGCCCUCCUUGCUUUUGUUCCCUCAUUUUGAAUAAUGACCGGGAUAAAAUUCUAUCCCGUUAUCUACUUCUUUGUAUGAAAACACCUUGUGUUUACAUCCAAAGGGGGCAUGAUGUAGACACGUAAUUUUGUCCCUCCCGAAGCCUAAUUCAUCCAUUUUUACCUUAAAUUAUCAUACACCCUCACCCAUGUAAUUAUCCCUCCACAAAAUGACAAAGUAACAAACUCCCUAACAAAUUUUAUCUCAACCAACUCACACCUCUCACCCAACCCCUACCCCUAUACCCCAUUUACCCCCCACCCGUAGAUCACAUUUUUCUUUUUUCUUUUGAGAGUCUAUACUGAACAAUACAAUACACAGAUAUGGAGAAUGUACUGAGGGACCUACACCAAAAUCUCACCAUCACUUUUCUACAUAAUUCCAUACACGUAUGUAUACAUAGUACACGAUAUCACUAGGGGGGUUCGGACAAAUGGAUUAACAUACGCACAUCCAUACACAGAACACUCUAUUUUUAUCUUCACACAAUUUUUCACAUCACAGAAAGAGGACACACACAUUCUCUCCAUACCUACACACACAUAUCUUUCAUAGACACUACACACAGAAAAAGAGCUCACGCCAUUUUUUGAACACUCUAUUUCUUAUUCUUUUCUUCUUCUUCUUUUUCUUAGUACACUUUCACAGAAUACCAUAUGCACACACACAUCUCUCACAAAACACAUAUUCCAAACUCAUGAAAAAGAGAUAAGAGAGCUUUAUAAACAUAAAAAUGGCGUAGAGAGGGGAGAGAUUGGAGAAACAAUGAGAAAACGAGGAAGAGAUCAGAGAAACAACGAGAAAAUGAAGGAGAGAUCGAAGAAACAGUGAGAAAAUAAGAGAUAUCGAAAAUACAGUGAGAGGUCGAUGGAAUUUGCAAAAAGGAGCCCAAAAUCGAUUGGAACCGACUGUUUAUGGUCUGAUUUUGGUGAUAUUCGUCGAAACUAAGUAAAAAUAGGGUUGGGUUUGCGAGAAUCUGAUCUGUCCAUUUGCUAUUUCUUAAUAUCGAGUUGAUUUUAUUUGGGGUUAAGGCUUUGUCGUUUGAGGCAUUCCGGUCGGAGCUUUAAUCAAAUACUUUGGCGGAUUGAAAUAAAAAUCAAAGUCCAAUUAUACUCUUUUCCUGUGUUUAUUUCAUCGUUUACUAUAUUUGGUGUGUUGGAUUGAAUUUCGUAUUUUGUUGAAUUGAAUAUCAUGUGUUGUUUGAUCCUUGGUGAUGAUGAAGGUGUGUGUAUUUUUAUUUGUCGUUGGUUCCCUUGAUCAUGGUUUUUAUGGUGAAAUGAUAUCUCGUUGAGAAGUAAAAUUGGUUGUUCAGGGUGGAAUUGAGAAAAUGAUAGAAAGGGUGAAUUUAGAUUAAUUUUGGUUUAUUUUUUAAUUCGAAAUAAGUAUGAAUAUUGUUGGAACGUGAUCGAAUUAUGACAUGUUGAAACGGAUAGGCACAUGUAGGUUUGGGUAGGCAAAAUUUAGGAAUGAUGUUUGGUUGAAUGCAUGGAAUGUUGAGUGUGUUGAAUGUUUUCUAGCUUAUCUCAUGAAAUCAAAAUUGUAUUCAUUUGCCGGAGAAUGCCCCGAAGAAAUUGUAUUUAUUCACCGGGGAAUGCCUCGAAGUAUCAUGUACUUGAAGAUGACGUACGGUCAAGGCCUAGAACGUCAGGUGGGGUUUAGGUUACGAGUAGUUUAGAAUAGAAUAAGUUUACAUUUUUGCAUUUUUCAUUUCGGGACUGUAUAAUUGGAUUGGACACUAAAUUUUGAAUUGUUUUGUAUGUUUGAUUGAUUGUUUUUAUGCAUUUUUUGUGGGUUUAUAAAUUCGUAAUGUCUAAUUAUUCGAUACGCUCUAUCAAGCGAUCGUGGUCGAACCACGGGAUCGAGGGGGGCUUAACACCUUUCUCUCGGUCAACAGAAUUCAUUAACCGG